rnacentral:rRNA from 1 species
UGAAAGAGGAGCUUGCUUCUCCGGAUGAGUUGCGAACGGGUGAGUAACGCGUAGGUAACCUGCCUGGUAGCGGGGGAUAACUAUUGGAAACGAUAGCUAAUACCGCAUAAUAGUAGAUGUUGCAUGACAUUUGCUUAAAAGGUGCAAUUGCAUCACUACCAGAUGGACCUGCGUUGUAUUAGCUAGUUGGUGGGGUAACGGCUCACCAAGGCGACGAUACAUAGCCGACCUGAGAGGGUGAUCGGCCACACUGGGACUGAGACACGGCCCAGACUCCUACGGGAGGCGGCAGUAGGGAAUCUUCGGCAAUGGACGGAAGUCUGACCGAGCAACGCCGCGUGAGUGAAGAAGGUUUUCGGAUCGUAAAGCUCUGUUGUAAGAGAAGAACGAGUGUGAGAGUGGAAAGUUCACACUGUGACGGUAUCUUACCAGAAAGGGACGGCUAACUACGUGCCAGCAGCCGCGGUAAUACGUAGGUCCCGAGCGUUGUCCGGAUUUAUUGGGCGUAAAGCGAGCGCAGGCGGUUAGAUAAGUCUGAAGUUAAAGGCUGUGGCUUAACCAUAGUAUGCUUUGGAAACUGUUUAACUUGAGUGCAAGAGGGGAGAGUGGAAUUCCAUGUGUAGCGGUGAAAUGCGUAGAUAUAUGGAGGAACACCGGUGGCGAAAGCGGCUC